AAAUGCAAGGUUGUGUCAAGUUCAUAUUACCUAGCUUGUUUUCUUUUAGUACUAUUUAAUUUAAAUUAAUUUCAUCAUUCUUAUCCCAAACCCACUCCAGCUUGCAGUAAUGGCACACUAAAAUGAAAUAUAUGUUACCAUCUUAUUCAAUAUUAAUAGUAAAAUCAACUCCAAGACUUAGGAGGAAUAGUAACCAAUUACAAGAGUAGUAUUUGAUAGAAUGAGAAAGGAGGCAGAGUAACGAAAUCAGAAAAGUAGCAGAACUAGAGAGAGAAGAGGAAAUCAGAAUUACAUCACACAAUCCACACCAUCAACACAUUUCCUUCUCUCUUAUACACCUCACCCUUCACACUUAUUCUCUUCACUUAGAGUUGGUUAUUUUAGGUUAUUUUUUGCCUAGUGCUUCUUCUCAACUCCUUGAUUUUUAGAUCGAGUUGGUUAUUUUAGGUUAUUUUUUGCCUAGUACUUCUUCUCAACUCCUUGAUUUUUAGAUCCUUAACUGCCUGGUUGCCUAGCUGUCCCAUUUUCCUAUUUUAUGCCUAGUCAUCACACAAUUCACACCCUCACAGCUCAACUGGAAUAACUGUCUCUGUCUCUGUGGUUCGCAUCUUGCUUCAUCUUUUUUCUUUUUAAAAAAAAAUUCAAACACUUCAUUUAACUUAACAACACUCUCUAG
rnacentral:lncRNA from 1 species